AUCCCCAGUCUUUACAUAUUAUGACGUCUAGACGUUAGAUGUGAGAUGAUUGUCUUUAGACGUGAGAUGGUGUCAGACUUCAGUCUUUUCAAAGUCUGUUCAAAGUCUUCCAGCUAAUGUCUGGGAGGUAUGAAGAGC